UAUUUUACCCUCCUAGCUGAGUUCCAUUCAACAUCAGUAAAGCCUCCUCUGCACAAGCCUCCUAAUUAGUAUUGAUGUGUGUGCCAGAUGAAGAUGAAUAUGAUACGAAUGGGGAUAAAGGCCCUAUUCGAGUGCUAAUAGGUAUGUGGAUCUCAACCACAUAGGCAGUGCAGGUGGAUCCUCUCCCGCCAAAUAAAUCCAUUGCAUUUCCAGGCCUUGGCACACUUUCAAGAAGUCACCAACAGAUAUUGCCAAGAAAAGAAAUCUACAUUGUGCCGAAUGUUUAUCAUCAAUGCUAGCCCUGGUUUUAGGCUGCUGUGGAGCAUAGUGAAGUCUUUUAUCGAUCCAAAAACCACUUCAAAGAUUCAUGUACUCUCAAUGAGGCUUUUCUUCUAUUUGUAU